rnacentral:antisense_RNA from 1 species
UCUAGGCAUGUGUGGGCCGUUGCAGCCUGAAUUAAUCAGGAGGGAAGAAGAAGUGCGAUGAUACUGGCCAGUGAUACACAGUGGGAGACAGAUUGUGGAACUGCCCAUGAGGCCAAGCACCUAUUAGUAGACCAAGAAGCAUCACCCAUCCGUGGCCUAAGUUGGCAGCCAGCUAUUGUUCUCAUCUGAGUCUGGGAGUUCAGGAUUUCCAUCCUGACCCGGCUACUUUCUUUCAACAGUUACCCACUGUAAAUUUCCGAAUACUUUCAGCUACUAAUCCCAGUGUACCCAAUUAAAAAUGGCUUUCCUAAUAAAGGCAUUUCCGAUCGAAUUUA